UUGUGCUCAACGGGUAAGUGGUGUAGAUGAAACAAAUUUCACAACAAAUUUUUUGUUGGAUUGUUUCACCUAUCGUUCCAUUUGCAGCUACGA
rfam:Drosophila virilis strain TSC#15010-1051.87 Ctg01_17194, whole genome shotgun sequence.